rnacentral:piRNA from 1 species
UGGGCUGGAAAUAUCAAGGAAGAAUGCU